CCCUUAGAUGUUCUGGGCUGCACGCGCGCUACACUGAUGCACUCAACGAGUUUACGACCUUGCCCGAUAGGGUUGGGUAAUCUUUUUAAAAUGCAUCGUGAUGGGGAUAGAUUAUUGCAAUUAUUAAUCUUCAACGAGGAAUUCCUAGUAAGCGCGAGUCAUCAGCUCGCGCUGAUUACGUCCCUGCCCUUUGUACACACCGCCCGUCGCUCCUACCGAUUGAGUGCUCAGGUGAAUAAUUCGGACUGCAGCAAUGUUUGGAUCCCGAACGUUGCAGCGGAAAGUUUAGUGAACCUUAUCACUUAGAGGAAGGAGAAGUCGUAACA
rnacentral:rRNA from 1 species